AAUGAUGAAAAAGGCUUUAUAGUACUGAAC
rnacentral:piRNA from 1 species